rnacentral:rRNA from 1 species
UACGAAGGGGGCUAGCGUUGCUCGGAAUCACUGGGCGUAAAGGGUGCGUAGGCGGGUCUUUUAAGUCAGAGGUGAAAUCCUGGAGCUCAACUCCAGAACUGCCUUUGAUACUGAAGAUCUUGAGUUCGGGAGAGGUGAGUGGAACUGCGAGUGUAGAGGUGAAAUUCGUAGAUAUUGCAAGAACACCAGUGGCGAAGGCGGACUCACUGGCCCGAUACUGACGCUG